UACGUAGGUCCCGAGCGUUGUCCGGAUUUAUUGGGCGUAAAGCGAGCGCAGGUGGUUUAUUAAGUCUGGUGUAAAAGGCAGUGGCUCAACCACUGUAUGCAUUAGAAACUGGUAGACUUGAGUGCAGGAGAGGAGAGUGGAAUUCCAUGUGUAGCGGUGAAAUGCGUAGAUAUAUGGAGGAACACCGGUGGCGAAAGCGGCUCUCUGGCCUGUAACUGACACUGAGGCUCGAAAGCGUGGGGAGCAAACAGG
rnacentral:rRNA from 1 species